AGCGAACGCUGGCGGCAGGCUUAACACAUGCAAGUCGAACGCAUCCUUCGGGGUGAGUGGCAGACGGGUGAGUAACACGUGGGAACGUACCCUUCGAUCUGGGAUAACUUCGGGAAACUGGAGCUAAUACCGGAUACGCCCUUUGGGGGAAAGGUUUACUGUCGAAGGAUCGGCCCGCGUCUGAUUAGCUAGUUGGUGGGUAACGGCCUACCAAGGCGACGAUCAGUAGCUGGUCUGAGAGGAUGAUCAGCCACACUGGGACUGAGACACGGCCCAGACUCCUACGGGAGGCAGCAGUGGGGAAUAUUGGACAAUGGGCGCAAGCCUGAUCCAGCCAUGCCGCGUGAGUGAUGAAGGCCUUAGGGUUGUAAAGCUCUUUUGUCCG
rnacentral:rRNA from 1 species